AAUGAAGAGAUGAAGAUAGAGGGUGAAAAAUGCGAAACAUUUAUAGGAGGGUGAAGAUGAAGGGACAGAAUAUGAACAGCCACAUUUCUGUUUAAUGGACGGAAUUAAAUGGCCCUAAGUCUUGGGAACAGUAGUGGGAAUAUCAAAAGGGAGCGGACAAGAUUCUUAGUGCAAAGCAGUUAAGUGAUUAAAGAAUUGAUGAUUAGAAAAUAAACGUCAAAUAAAUGCACAAGAAGUUAAUGUUCGUUAAUAAUGAACAAAAAUUACAAAAGAGAAAAAGACAUCGUAUGUCUUAAUUACAGUCUACCCCAUAAGGAACGAAUUCGUUCCCUAAGUUUUUCCCAAUCCUCGUUCUGCCGGGAGGAAGUGAUGUUCAAUUCAGCCGC
rnacentral:lncRNA from 1 species